rnacentral:rRNA from 1 species
UACGUAGGGUGCAAGCGUUGUCCGGAAUUAUUGGGCGUAAAGAGCUUGUAGGCGGUUUGUCGCGUCUGCUGUGAAAUUUCGGGGCUCAACCCCGAACUUGCAGUGGGUACGGGCAGACUAGAGUGUGGUAGGGGAGACUGGAAUUCCCGGUGUAGUGGUGAAAUGCGUAGAUAUCGGGAGGAACACCAGUGGCGAAGGCGACUUUCUGGCCUGUUCUUGACGCUGAGGCGCGAAAGCCAGGGGAGCGAACGGG